rnacentral:rRNA from 1 species
GACGAACGCUGGCGGCGUGCUUAACACAUGCAAGUCGAACGGAAAGGCCCUGCUUUUGUGGGGUGCUCGAGUGGCGAACGGGUGAGUAACACGUGAGUAACCUGCCCUUGACUUUGGGAUAACUUCAGGAAACUGGGGCUAAUACCGGAUAGGAGCUCCUGCUGCAUGGUGGGGGUUGGAAAGUUUCGGCGGUUGGGGAUGGACUCGCGGCUUAUCCGCUUGUUGGUGGGGUAGUGGCUUACCAAGGCUUUGACGGGUAGCCGGCCUGAGAGGGUUACCGGCCACAUUGGGACUGAGAUACGGACCAGACUCCUACGGGAGGCAGCAGUGGGGAAUAUUGCACAAUAGGCGGAAGCCUGAUGCAGCGACGCCGCGUGCGUGAUGACGGCCUUCGGGUUGUAAACCGCUUUCGCCUGUGACGAAGCGUGAGUGACGGUAAUGGGUAAAGAAGCACCGGCUAACUACGUG